UACGUAGGUGGCAAGCGUUGUCCGGAUUCACUGGGUGUAAAGGGAGCGUAGACGGCCAUGCAAGCCAGGGGUGAAAGCCCGGGGCCCAACCCCGGGACUGCCCUUGGAACUGUGCGGCUAGAGUGCGGGAGGGGCAGGCGGAAUUCCUGGUGUAGCGGUGAAAUGCGUAGAUAUCAGGAGGAACACCGGUGGCGAAGGCGGCCUGCUGGACUGCAACUGACGUUGAGGCCCGAAAGCGUGGGGAGCAAACAGG
rnacentral:rRNA from 1 species